rnacentral:misc_RNA from 1 species
CAAACUUAAUGGACAAGACAAGCUAACAUCUCCGUGACAAUUUUAAUAGUUUUUCUUACUUCUCGAUCCAUCGAAUGUCAGUGCAUGUGAAUCACUCUUAUCCUAUCUCUUCUUUCCCAAAGGAUUGGCUUCCUCUGUCUUCAAUCAAUAAUUCAAGAAAUCAAGCCCCACAAUUUCACAUGCAUGCGGUUCCAUCCUAUUGUAGGACACUUUCUUUACCCUUUAAAAAGGGUUCUUUAUCGGUACCCUUCUGCUCGCACCCAUCCCACAGCAAUGCAAUCAUUCUCUGCGAUCAUUAUCUCUCUAGCUUUUUUCAGCAUUGCAAAUUCGUUGGCAGCAAGAUUAUUAGAACCCCGCCGAUUGGGGUCGAGCGAUGAUUUUAUUAAAACAUCAUGUGAGGUUACAAGGUAUCCAGACCUAUGUUACCUAAGUCUCUCAGCUUAUGAUAGUACCAUCCAGGAUGACCCUACGCAGCUGGCCAAUGCAGCUCUCAACUUCACCCUGCAAAGUGCUGAAUCCACCUCCAACAUGGUACUAAAUAUGUCGAAAGCGCACAACCUAAGGCCCAAAGGAGCUGGGCCCAUAAGGGACUGUGUGGAGAACAUGAAAGAUUCAGUUGAUGAGCUCCAGCAAUCUUUGGUGGCGAUGAAGGAUCUUGAAGGCCCUGAUUUUGAGAUUAAGAUGAGUAAUGUACAAACAUGGGUAAGUGCUGCCCUGACAGAUGAGGAUACUUGUAUGGAUGGGUUUGAAGGGAAUGCCAUGAAUGGAAAAGUUAAGGACACUAUAAGGAGCUAUAUUGAAAGAGUUGCUCAGCUAACUAGCAAUGCAUUAGCUCUCAUUAAUAAGCUAGUUAAUUAACGAGGGACAAUAUUUGUCUCUUAAAAUAUUACUGCUUUUUCUCAUUCAGAACAAUCUGUGUAUAUAACCCAUUGUAAAGUAUAUUUAAUAACUAUUUAUCUUUUAAAAGACCUUCUCAGUUUGUAGUAGUAAAAGACCUGUCGCCAACAGAA